rnacentral:rRNA from 1 species
GGGGACGUAACAAAGCGACCCAGGAAUGCUUGGGCGUGCCUCCACCCACGCCGGCGUCGGCGGGCGUAUUUCGCCUCACAGUAGGUCGCCGCGACCCGUUGCUUUUGGGGACGUCGAAGGCCCGGACGGAUUGGUACCCUACCGGCUGGGGAUGCGGCUUCGGCUUCUCCUCUUGUCCGGUGGGCGAAACCGCCGGUGUCCUGGCUGCCCUGCGACGGUCGUAGAGACGAGCUCUCCCCAUUCGUGGGGGGCGGUUCUCGCGGCGUGCAAAAGGUCGGUGAUCCACCCGACCCGUCUUGAAACACGGACCAAGGAGUCUAACAUGUGUGCGAGUCAGUGGGCGCACUAAACCCAGAGGCGUAAUGAAAGUGACACGGGUUCGGCUGUCGCCUCGUGUGGCAGCCGGACUCAGGGCCGAUCCCUCACCGGUUGCCCUCGCCUCUCUCCCGCGUCUCGGUAAGCCGGGUGAGCUAUUUUCCCCGGCCAAUGCUGCGGGGCUCGGGGGGAGGCGGGGUUGCGAUGGUGUCCGUAAAAAAGAGCCUGCUGUUGCAGGGGGGCGCAGGCCCGGGACUUGCCAGGACGCCGCGAGACUGUCACUUUGCUGUGAGGCUCUAGGGCCGAUCAGCGGGUCAUGCGUGCAGUCGGCAAGUACCAUGAGCAGACAUGUUGGGACCCGAAAGAUGGUGAACUAUGCCUGGCCAGGAUGAAGCCAGAGGAAACUCUGGUGGAGGUCCGUAGCGAUUCUGACGUGCAAAUCGAUCGUCGGAGCUGGGUAUAGGGGCGA